rnacentral:rRNA from 1 species
CAGCAGCCGCCGCGGGAAUACGUAGGUGGCAAGCGUUGUCCGGAAUUAUUGGGCGUAAAGGGCUCGCAGGCGGUUUCUUAAGUCUGAUGUGAAAGCCCCCGGCUCAACCGGGGAGGGUCAUUGGAAACUGGGAAACUUGAGUGCAGAAGAGGAGAGUGGAAUUCCACGUGUAGCGGUGAAAUGCGUAGAGAUGUGGAGGAACACCAGUGGCGAAGGCGACUCUCUGGUCUGUAACUGACGCUGAGGAGCGAAAGCGUGGGGAGCGAACAGGAUUAGAUACCCGAGUAGUCCCUGUCUCUUAUAC